rnacentral:rRNA from 1 species
GGGUUGUGAGGUUAAGCGACUAAGCGUACACGGUGGAUGCCCUGGCAGUCAGAGGCGAUGAAGGACGUGCUAAUCUGCGAUAAGCGCCGGUAAGGUGAUAUGAACCGUUAUAACCGGCGAUUUCCGAAUGGGGAAACCCAGUGUGACUCGUCACACUAUCAUUAACUGAAUCCAUAGGUUAAUGAGGCGAACCGGGGGAACUGAAACAUCUAAGUACCCCGAGGAAAAGAAAUCAACCGAGAUUCCCCCAGUAGCGGCGAGCGAACGGGGAGGAGCCCAGAGCCUGAAUCAGCAUGUGUGUUAGUGGAAGCGUCUGGAAAGGCGCGCGAUACAGGGUGACAGCCCCGUACACAAAAGCGCAUGUGCUGUGAGCUCGAUGAGUAGGGCGGGACACGUGGUAUCCUGUCUGAAUAUGGGGGGACCAUCCUCCAAGGCUAAAUACUCCUGACUGACCGAUAGUGAACCAGUACCGUGAGGGAAAGGCGAAAAGAACCCCGGCGAGGGGAGUGAAAAAGAACCUGAAACCGUGUACGUACAAGCAGUGGGAGCACAGGUUUACCUGUGUGACUGCGUACCUUUUGUAUAAUGGGUCAGCGACUUAUAUUCUGUAGCAAGGUUAACCGUAUAGGGGAGCCGGAGGGAAACCGAGUCUUAAUUGGGCGUUAAGUUGCAGGGUAUAGACCCGAAACCCGGUGAUCUAGCCAUGGGCAGGUUGAAGGUUGGGUAACACUAACUGGAGGACCGAACCGACUAAUGUUGAAAAAUUAGCGGAUGACCUGUGGCUGGGGGUGAAAGGCCAAUCAAACCGGGAGAUAGCUGGUUCUCCCCGAAAGCUAUUUAGGUAGCGCCUCGUGAAUUCAUCUCCGGGGGUAGAGCACUGUUUCGGCUAGGGGGCCAUCCCGGCUUACCAACCCGAUGCAAACUGCGAAUACCGGAGAAUGUUAUCACGGGAGACACACGGCGGGUGCUAACGUCCGUCGUGAAGAGGGAAACAACCCAGACCGCCAGCUAAGGUCCCAAAGUCAUGGUUAAGUGGGAAACGAUGUGGGAAGGCCCAGACAGCCAGGAUGUUGGCUUAGAAGCAGCCAUCAUUUAAAGAAAGCGUAAUAGCUCACUGGUCGAGUCGGCCUGCGCGGAAGAUGUAACGGGGCUAAACCAUGCACCGAAGCUGCGGCAGCGAACGUAUCACCCAAGACAACUUUACGGAGUUGACGAUUGACGGAGCGAAGCGACGUCAAAGCGUUCAUUAAAGUCGAGUUGGCUUAGGGAUACGUUCGUUGGGUAGGGGAGCGUUCUGUAAGCCUGUGAAGGUGUGUCGUGAGGCAUGCUGGAGGUAUCAGAAGUGCGAAUGCUGACAUAAGUAACGAUAAAGCGGGUGAAAAGCCCGCUCGCCGGAAGACCAAGGGUUCCUGUCCAACGUUAAUCGGGGCAGGGUGAGUCGACCCCUAAGGCGAGGCCGAAAGGCGUAGUCGAUGGGAAACGGGUUAAUAUUCCCGUACUUGGUGUUACUGCGAAGGGGGGACGGAGAAGGCUAUGUUGGCCGGGCGACGGUUGUCCCGGUUUAAGCGUGUAGGUGUGUGUUCCAGGUAAAUCCGGUUCACUUUAACACUGAGGCGUGACGACGAGGCACUACGGUGCUGAAGCAACAAAUGCCCUGCUUCCAGGAAAAGCCUCUAAGCAUCAGGUAACACGAAAUCGUACCCCAAACCGACACAGGUGGUCAGGUAGAGAAUACCAAGGCGCUUGAGAGAAUUCGGGUGAAGGAACUAGGCAAAAUGGUGCCGUAACUUCGGGAGAAGGCACGCUGACAUGUAGGUGAAGUGAUUUACUCAUGGAGCUGAAGUCAGUCGAAGAUACCAGCUGGCUGCAACUGUUUAUUAAAAACACAGCACUGUGCAAACACGAAAGUGGACGUAUACGGUGUGACGCCUGCCCGGUGCCGGAAGGUUAAUUGAUGGGGUCAGCGCAAGCGAAGCUCCUGAUCGAAGCCCCGGUAAACGGCGGCCGUAACUAUAACGGUCCUAAGGUAGCGAAAUUCCUUGUCGGGUAAGUUCCGACCUGCACGAAUGGCGUAAUGAUGGCCAGGCUGUCUCCACCCGAGACUCAGUGAAAUUGAACUCGCUGUGAAGAUGCAGUGUACCCGCGGCAAGACGGAAAGACCCCGUGAACCUUUACUAUAGCUUGACACUGAACAUUGAGCCUUGAUGUGUAGGAUAGGUGGGAGGCUUUGAAGCGUGGACGCCAGUCUGCGUGGAGCCGACCUUGAAAUACCACCCUUUAAUGUUUGAUGUUCUAACGUGGACCCGU